GUACACACCGCCCGUCACACCACGAAAGCUGGUUGAACCAGAAGCCGGUGACCCGACCGCAAGGAGGGAGCCGUCCAAGGUUUGACCGGUGAUUGGGGUGAAGUCGUAACAAGGUAGCCGUAGGUGAACCUGCAGAAGGAUCA
rnacentral:rRNA from 1 species